rnacentral:lncRNA from 1 species
ACUACAUUUCUUCCUGGCGGAGAGCUACAAAGCGGAGAGCGGGGCUAUAAAAGGCCGCGUGACGUUCGUCUCGGCGGAACUUCUCGCAGGGACGUGCGCUGGAGCUCGCGGCCGCGUGUCUGCGAUAAGUUCCCACCACCACCUCCCGCCCCCACGGCGCGACUACCCGCCUGGAUGUCGACGUCCGCUGGAAGGGAGUGAGUCAUCGGUGGUCGCACUAAUUGUACAUAUCGCUGUAAAUAAUAUAUUGCCCAUUGUACAUAGCCAUAGUCAUGAGAUUAAACGGAUACAAUGUCGAAUUGUGCAGUCCGUCGUAACUUGUCGCUGAGCGGCCGCCAUCUUGGUAGGCUUAGCGAAGUUAAAAUAUGGCGUCACUAGGCUUACGUGUACACUGCGCACUGACUUCAUGUCGCCACAUACCUAGCCGAGAUACUCUGCAUUACAGUCCAUUACUUCAGAUUUUCACUAAUACGGCCUUUCUUUUGCUUUCCACAAAUAUGAUGAUGACUCGCGUUGUUGUGACCAUUUACUCGAUUUCUUUUGUCUGUAGGCGACCUUGUUGAUGAACGGUUCCCGAAGUCGUCGCUACGAUUUGAAGAAUUACGUGUUUUAUUUGCACUAGAUAUCCCAAGCCGACGAGAAGUUCUAGCGCUCUUUUGUGUUAAAAGCGACUUGCGUUUCAGGCCGCGAGUGACAACCAAGAAAUUUCUGCAAUACUUAAGCAAGUCAAGGAUCGUAUGGCAUGGAUGAUAGUGCUGCGUCGCCGUCGACACCAGUCAUCAAUUUCACUUUCCAGCUCCAUUGGGUUUGCCUGCUCUUUUUCCUUUGUGCACUAUUCAUGGCAUGGCUUUCACUAGUUGAUCACAAUGAAAGGAUUGCUAGAGGGAAUGAAUUGACACCUGUGGUACGAGGCUAGGCUUGUAGCUAAAUCGUUUGUGUUGUAACAGUUGAUUAUAUUAAAUACAGUAGUAACUCGUGCGAAAUUUUACGUAAUUGCCAUUGCCACUUCAUAGGCGGUUAGGGCACAUCCUUCAUUCGAAAAAUAUUGCAUCUUGCUUCUGACCUUUUUCUCCAUUUCUAUAGCACCACCAAGUCUUGUUGAAAGAGAAGUCUCCACAGUACUCCAGAUUGACAGUUGGAAGUAUUGCAAAGGUUGUUUUGGGGAAACUGCUAAAAGCUGCCCUAAAUGGGAGUCAAGAAAGCUUUGAUCAAGGAAAGAGUUCUGUCUCAAGCUUCAAAAGACAAAAGGAAAGCAAUACUGAAGUACCCGAUUGAAGUUCAAAGCAUAAGUGAAGUAUGGCAAGUUCAAAAUCACAUGAGGUACAAGCUGUAAGUCUUUCUUUUGAAGAGUUGUUCAUUCAAGAUCUGUAUGCCAGUUACGUUGUAACGUGGAGGCAUGCUGUUUAGUGCAAAUUCUAGCUAUCAAGUAUACAGUGCCCAAUUUUCAAGAGUUGCAUUCAAGGUACAAGUUUUCAUGUUAAUGCUUCAAGCUGUCUAGUGUUGCCGGAUUCAAUUUGAGUGGUCAACGUUUCAAGUAAUGUGCAUAUUGCUGCAUUUUCAAGUACAAGCCGGUGUAUCCAAGCAUCAAAAUAUGUUGUGCAAGUUCUCAAGAAAUUUCUAGAAAUCUUCACAUGCAAGCAGUAAGGCAAAUUCCAUAUGCUUUCUGAAGUUGGGGAGGGGAGAAGACCAAGAAAAGUAUGUCAUGUCAAGCAGUAUGACUUUGCAAGAGGGGAGGGGCAACUUUCUCAAAGACAUCUGUUUAUGCAUACAGACCAGGAGAGCAAGGCAAAGUAGGUUGUGCCAGAAGGAAGAUUGACCUCGAAGGAAUUAACCGGAUAGCAAGUUUCGCCGUGCAUUGGAACUGGUUUGCUUUCCAUCUUCUCAACUAGGCUAGCUAACUUCGGUGCUGCUUUAGAGUGAAUGUUCAUGUGCAGUGCUUUAGUUGCAGCACAUAGUAGGCACGAAAUUGAAGCCAGUUUGAGGCUCAGGCAUGUUUGUUUUGCAGGUAUACACGGUCGAGGCCAGACAAGAUUUUAAGUGUCUGAAUGACCUGUAAUGAAAACAAGGGAUCGUUCAUUAAGUAGACUGCAGCACAAUGGUUACUCUGGCGUGUAGCUCCCACAGGUAUUCGUGAGUUCCUGUUGCAUUUGUUGUUUCCCAUGAAAUUGUCCUCCUUCAGUUAACCAUUUCAUUUGCAUUGCAUUUUUAAUUGUCCACUUGUCUAUAGCCGUUGUAUUAUUGCUCGCAAAAAAACAAACUUUGUGGCACUGCAUUUUUGCAAGUCCCCCUCGAAUCUUUUUCUCUAGCGCAUGUCCGGGGGGAGGGGGCGUGUUGUAUGCUUUGCUUUUGAGUCCCAUUGCAGCUAACUAGGUCCUGGAUGACAUAGACCUUCCUAGUGACUACACCAACACUGCUACGACACUCUCCUCCUCACACGGCUCACCACGUGCCGGAGUCCCCUGCAUUUGCUUUCUUCCGUAUUCUGCCUGGUGCGCCGUGGUCUCGUUUUGUCCUUGGCUGCACGGAAAUCCUCUUGUAAGCCACGUGUGAAUGGGGUUUGGUUCUUCCUAUGAAAUUGCACGGACUGUUGCCUAACUGCAAUUAGCGGCAAGUUGCUUUGCUCGUCUUUCAGACUGGGUAUUGCAAGGCUUUUGUAAUGCUUAAGAUGGUAGAGUGGAUUGGGUGGGGUAGAGUAAUUGUGCAGCUAUCGCAAGUUCACAGUAUCGCCUGCAUUUGAGCACUUGGAUGCAACCUGCUGUAAGCAUUGCAUGUAAUUACUUCGCAUUGGUCGUCUUUAGAGCAUUUUAGAUUGGUUGGGGUGGGGGCAAUUGUGAUGAGUGUUUUUGCAGGAACUAGGUGUUCAUUGGCAUAAAGGUCUGGAGCAAACGCUGCAACUGUGAGCAGUCCUCAUUACGCCGGGUAAGGGGUUUUUGAGGGAGGGUCAUGGCAUAUUGUGCAGUGCCGGCGUAGCCAGGAUCUGGAAGUAUCGUAAGCAUUUCUUUUAUAGGGGAAGAGUGGGGGGCGCUAUGGAAUAUUGGAGUUUUUGCAGUGCUGACCCAAGUUUCGGAGCUGGAACAAGGAAGCUGUCGUAAGCAUUUUUUUUUGUAACUGGUAGGGGGGUCUGGUUGUUGCAAAAGUUUGUGCACAGUGCCAACAAGUUUCAUACUUUGGAUUUGAGAUGAGAGCAUUCGUAAGCAUCUUUUCUUGUUUAGGGUGGGGAGGGGGUAAUUUUCACAUUUUUUUUUUUUUGUCCAAUGAGCCCUACAGUUCGGUGCUAGCGGCAGUGCCUGUCUGCAGAAGAGGACCAAAUGUAAGCAUAGUGGAUGAAACUGCUAAUGGGAUGGGGAUUGACCUGUGCUGUGGAGUUUUUGAGCAUGAGUCACAGGUGCCACCCUGUGUAGUAUUGGACCGCGAGUGGCUUUGUGUGGGUGGGGGGGCGUGCAUGAGUCCUUGCAGUUUCGUGCCGACACGUAGCUUCCUCGUGUGCUUCACUGGCUGGCAAAGAAAGCUGGACACGGUUCCCUCCCGGUGUGCUGGGCUCUCUCCGCCGAUAUUGGUGCAGGGAGUACUGCUGUAGUCUUUCCUCCUGUGGUUUUGGGCCUACCGCUUAUGUUGCCGUUGGAAUGCGUCUAGGCAAGGAGUCGAGGGGAAACAAAAAGAGAGCUCCUGUUCCGGUGUCCUGGCCCUAAAGCCCGCCGACCGCGAAGACCCCCCCAUUAUCGGCUACUGGGCUGCUAAAGGCCGUUCUACCCCGCCUGCAGAGUGUGUCCGGGCAUGCCGGCCUUCGAGGACACAGUGCUGUGCACGUGAUUGCAGGUUUGCUCAGAGGCUUUCAUCUCUGCAGUCUCUCUAAAUGUGGGGCUGUGUUGUUUUUUUUGUAGGGUUGUAGCUAGCUUUUAGCACCUAGCCAAUCUUGUGGUUUAUUGCUUAAGGUUAGUCAGGCAGCGUUGCGUAACGGUGUGUGGGUAGUGGGCGUUUUCUUGCAGCUCCUGGCGCGAGUGUGUGCAAUGCCAAUGCGUGGGUCGCUCCGGGCGUGGCUGUGUUGUGUGCCGCUAUGAUGCCGAGGCAUCGAGCGUGUGCCGCGAUGAUGCCGUAAAGCAAGGCGUCGAGCGAGGGUAUCCUUCGGUGCGUCCGCCUCUUCAUCGGGGCCGUGGUUCCCGUGCUUUUCCCGGUGUAGUGUUCAAGGACCGCCAGCGACGCGUCUUGUGCGAGUUGAGCGUGUGAGGCGUGCCAGGGUCGUCGUCGGAGGAUGCUUGUCGUUCUCCCCACGGAGUCAAGAUGGUUUCCCUUUCCACGAGUUCCAUUGCCAGCCUAGUCCGACCGAGAUGUCAUCGCGGCUUCGUUACCUAGCUCUUCCAACAUGUCAACAUCUACAAUGCCUACCUAGCCCAAUCUAAGUGUCUCCACUGAUAUCCCCAGCUAUUGAAAUUGCAUCUUGCACUUCAUAUUGUUGCGCUGUAAAGAGGCUGAUCAAGCAAGAAAUGGACUUUCCUGAAUAGCAAAGUGAUGCUUGGCUCUGUAUCUGUAUUCAUACAAUGAAUACAGAUUAAGCUCAAAGGAGAACAUGUUGCCAAUUCAUUGUAAGGAGUGUUCUAGCUUUAUACCAAGCUGUUCUGACCAAUAUUUCCUGUAGGUCUAAUUUAAUGCAAGAGCAGAUAUGUACUGCUUAUUCCAGUUGCAUAAGCUGUACGGCUUUUGUAAUAAGGCCACAGUUCCAUUGUAUUGUGAUCCUGCUCACAAUUAAUUCUAUUUAUACUCAACGCACUUGUGCAAAUGUUGGAAUUGUAGUGCAAGUACGAGACUUGAAAACAUCUUUUUGUUGCAAACAUUUCUUAGGCAAUCUUCAUGUGCUGUCUGAAUGUUCAUAACGGCAGUUGUUCAUCAAUACAAACAUAUUCGAAACUUCUACGAUUACAGUCUUAAAUGAAAGCAGCCCUGUUAAUUCCCACAUGUUUUCUUUGCUUUUCCAAAGUGCAACAGAUUUAUUAAUCAAAGAAAUGCUUCUAGGAAAAUUGCAACCCUAGUCCCUACUGAUGCAAUGUGCCAUAGAUUGCAUCAAUUCAACUUUGCAAACAUGUUCAUGUGCUUUAAAUGUUCCCAUUCAUGCCUCUCCUAUUAGUCUAGUCCAAAACAGCCUCUAUAAUUUACCUUUGCUUUGUUGGCUUGUGAUGCAAUGUGCCAUAGAUUACAUGUCCAAACUUCAUUGAAAAGCAAGUUUGCUUGCAUGCCCAUGCGGCAAAAUGCAUAACAUGCAUUAGCUAACAUUCAACAUUCAUGAAAGACAGCAAGACACCUUGAUCAUAGCUUACUGAUAAGCUGCUUAGAGCACCAGUUCCUCUAAUCUGCCUUAAAUAUGAAGUGCAGAAGAUUUGGCGAUAAUUAGCAAGCAUUAAUGCAGAUUUCAUAACACCUGUAUAAGCAUACUAGUUUCCUAACCAUUGCAUUGCCUGGAUGUGUUGGAUAUGAUGAUAGUGUGCAGAAUGUCGUUGAUAUGUUGGCUGAAAAGAUUCUCUCACAGGCUGGAUGUGGUUUAGAUGCCACUGCAGGCAAUGUGGUACAGUGUAUAGACUUGCAGCCUUGGGCUACAAAUAUGUGUACCACUUUCAAUGAAUGGUAUCAUAUUUUAUCACGUCUAAAGUAAACCUGACCUUGUGCAUAGGCAAUAAGCAGUUCCACAGUAGCUUGUGUUUCAAAUACUUGAAAAAACUUGUUCGCUGCAGUAAAUAAAUGUUCGUGCAGAGUUUCCCACAACAGCUGCUUUGUUGGUCAGAAGCAUGGCCAAGCUUUAUACAUUCUGAGAAAGAAAAGCAUUUAAGUAUCUGCCUAUAACUGUCGUUCCCUAAAUUUUUCAAUUUAUGGAAUAAGAAUACAUUAGGACUAAGAGGUCCAACAUCUCAAUGAUUGCUUUUGCCAUUUUUCAUCCAAAGCUUUCCACUACAGAGCAUUGUUUUGCAAAUUAUGCCGUAUGGCUAGUCUUUCAUCGUGAAUAUAUGCUUGUGAAGACUGCCCAGAGCUACUUAGUCGGUCCGAAGCAUGACAAAGUUUUAAACAAAUAUUGUGUGUUCUGGAAAGCAAGCGUUUCAGUAUCUGUCCCCUAGAUUUUUGAUUUUAUGGAAUAAGAAUAUAUUAGCACUAAGAAGUCCAACAUCUCAAUGAUUGCUUUUGCCAUUUUUCAUCCAAAGCUUUCCUCUGCAGAGCAUUGUUUUGCGAAUUAUGCACUGUGCCGUAUGGCUGGUCUUUAACUGUAAAUAUAUGCUUGUGAAGACUGUCCGGAGCUACUUUGUCGGUCUGAAGCAAUACCAAGUUUUAUACAAAUAUUGUGUGUUCUGGAAAACAAGUAUUUAGUAUCUGUCCCUUCGAUUUUUCAUUUUAUGGAAUAAGCAUAUAUUAGCACUAAGAAGUCCAACAUCUCAAUGAUUGCUUUUGCCAUUUUUCAUCUAAAGCUUUACUAUGCAGAGCAUUGUAUUGCAAAUUAUGCACUACGCCGUAUGGCUAGUCUUUCAUCGUAAAUAUAUGCUCACGAAGACUUCCCAGAGAUAAACGUUGCUGUAAAUAAAGGGUCAAUAAAAUGGAUUCCACAAGAAGCCUAUCAAAAACAAGAAAAAAAGCCUAUGAAGAAAAGAAAAAGGAUUGGUAAAUAUCUGAAAGGCUAGUGGAAGAAAAACCAUUGAGUGGUGUGGAAUCUGGGGCAGGUGCCAGGGGAGAAGGGAGCCUGCCAGAAAAAAC